UGACCUUACCGCAGACUUGGGCCUGCAUGCGAUGCCCUGUUUCUUUAAAAAAAAGCGGGGGAGGGAAGGAAUCUCGGACACUCUCUAGAACGUUCUAUAAAAACAGCAGCUCUCUCACACCCGCUGGAGGCUGCACGGCCUCCUACGGUGAUUAGCCCAGUCUGUUUGCAGACCUGACUUGCCUCAAGGUGUCUUUGUGCCCCAAUCGCCUGGCACCGUCCACACCUCCGAGACCGGGCCACUUCCUGGUCACGCAACCCUGGGGAAAUUGCAUCACUCUGAGGCCUGGCUUCCUCACCCGGAAGACAGAACUGACUACGCAUUGGCCCAGUUGAGCAUGGGGAAGGGGAUGAACAGCGGUUAGAGGAGGUUACUCAGGAACAAGGAACCUUCUGAGAUCUUCAAAAGCGGCACUAUGAGAAGACAGACAGACAAACAAACCUAAGGAUUAAAGAAGAAACAGGAGCUACAAACAAACACUGUACUUAAGGACUGGCCGGCUGGAGGGUCUACUGGUGACUUGAACUGGAACUUUCUCUGCAAUGCAUCUCCCAAAAUAAGAUGGGCUGGUGGACGGAUAGAGGCAAAGACAGCUGUGUGAUGUCAGUGAUAAAAGCCACAGGUAGGUGUUUAGGCGUUCAUGGCUCUUUCGACUUCUCUGCAUGUUUUUGAAUGUAAAAAUUAAAGUGCAUGGCACCCAAGCCCACAGCAGGCAUUCAGAAAUAGUCACUGCCUUCAAUGUAAGGAUUCGAUCCUAUCUGCCUUUGCAUGAUGCCACGAACUGUUUAGCCCGUGCCCAUGGGAGGUCUUCAGAAAUUCAGCAGAAGGACCUUUUGCUGAACGCAAAGACUGGGGGGCAAACUGUAAUCAGUAUGGACGUCCCCAAAAAUGAGCCUCUGUUGGAGGUGGCAGCAAAGAGGCUCCGCUCCCCAGAGACCGCAUCCCAGGGAAGCGCCACUCCCAGCCCUGCCUUUUCUCCAGCCGCACAGCGCACGUGACCACAGUGAGUAAGUUCCCCAGCUUCCCUUCCCCAGGCGGGGCACGUUAACUCAGAUUGUUAAGACAUUCAAGUCCUCAUAUCUCCCACAGGAAGGAGGCAAGAGGUCUCAGAGGGCGCCUUGAGCCCAAGAAAUUAAUCAUCAGGUCUCAUUUCCAGGAGGCAGGCAGGAUCCUCCCAGCCCC